UACGGGGGGGGUAAGCGUUGUCCGGAAUUAUUGGGCGUAAAGAGCUCGUAGGCGGUUUGUCGCGUCGGCCGUGAAAUCUCCACGCUUAACGUGGAGCGUGCGGUCGAUACGGGCAGACUUGAGUUCGGCAGGGGAGACUGGAAUUCCUGGUGUAGCGGUGAAAUGCGCAGAUAUCAGGAGGAACACCGGUGGCGAAGGCGGGUCUCUGGGCCGAUACUGACGCUGAGGAGCGAAAGCGUGGGGAGCGAACAGG
rnacentral:rRNA from 1 species